rnacentral:tRNA from 1 species
CGGGGAGUGGCGAAGCUUGGUAUCGCGCUGCGUUCGGGUCGCAGAGGCCCCGGGUUCAAAUCCCGGCUCCCCGA